UGCUGGAGAAAGCAUGAAAACAUAACCUGUUUACCACUGAGCACCUUUCAGAGUGGGGACACAGCAUCAGUGAGUCCAGCUCCAGCUGGCUCUGCACAUGGCCAGAACCAGCAGAAACAGCAGCGCUGCCAGUUUCAAAGUUCCAAGUUUUUGCUGACUGAAAGUGAAAAGUACCCCCAAGAUCACCAAGCAACAAUUCAAAUACAAACAAUUCCAGGGAAGGAGUCCUGAGACCCAGCCUGGUUCCUCCAGCCUUCACCACCACUUGCUAGUCAGAAGGCCACAUUUCAGCUUUUAUUCAGACAAGACUAAACAGUAAGUGCUAUCCC